rnacentral:rRNA from 1 species
UACGGAGGGGGCUAGCGUUGUUCGGAAUUACUGGGCGUAAAGGGUGCGUAGGCGGACUGGAAAGUUGGGGGUGAAAUCCCGGGGCUCAACCCCGGAACUGCCCUCAAAACUGUCAGUCUGGAGUUCGGGAGAGGUGAGUGGAAUUCCUAGUGUAGAGGUGAAAUUCGUAGAUAUUAGGAGGAACACCAGUGGCGAAGGCGGCUCACUGGCCCGAUACUGACGCUGAGGCACGAAAGCGUGGGUAG